GGUGACCGACAGGAAAGGGUUAAUGGGCUGAGGCUGGUGGCCUUUGAUGGAGACUGAAAGAUCACACAGCACCCAAGGCUGCGUCUCAUCCGCCCUCCUCUUUCCGGUGCAGCUCAGCUCCUGGGCUCGCCGCCGCACACAGGAAGCCGGACACACGCUCGCCAGGGAGAGGCUGGGCCUGACUCCAGCUCAGAGCGUGCGGCUGUCUUUCGGGGCCGGAGAUGCAGAGCACGNCCAGCUACCUGCGUCCCCGGGAGGUGCAGGAGAGGGAGUUUGAGGUCCUGCGGAAGUUGAACCACCAGAACAUCGUCAAGCUCUUCGCGGUGGAGGAGACGGGGGGCAGCCGGCAGAGGGUGCUGGUGAUGGAGCACUGCUCUGGGGGCAGCCUGCUGAGUGUGCUGGAGAGCCCGGAGAACGCCUUCGGGCUGUCGGAGGACGAGUUCCUGGUCGUUCUGCGCUGUGUGGUGGCCGGCAUGAACCACCUGCGGGAGAACGGCGUGGUGCACCGCGACAUCAAGCCGGGCAACAUCAUGCGCCUGGUGGGCCACGAGGGCCAGAGCGUCUACAAGCUCACGGACUUCGGCGCCGCGCGCCAGCUGCUGGACGACGAGAAGUUCGUCUCGGUCUACGGCACCGAGGAGUACCUGCACCCGGACAUGUACGAGCGGGCGGUGCUUCGCAAGCCCCAGCAAAAGGCGUUCGGGGUGACCGUGGACCUCUGGAGCAUCGGGGUGACCCUGUACCACGCAGCCACCGGCAGUCUGCCCUUCGUGCCCUACGGCGGGCCGCGGCGCAACAAGGAGAUCAUGUACCGGAUCACCACCGAGAAGCCCUCCGGGGCCAUCGCGGGCACUCAGCGGCGGGAGAACGGGCCCCUGGAGUGGAGCUACGCCCUGCCGGUCACCUGCCGGCUGUCCAUGGGCCUGCAGGGCCAGCUGGUGCCCAUCCUGGCCAACAUCCUGGAGGUGGAGCCGGCCAAGUGUUGGGGCUUCGACCAGUUCUUCGCCGAGACAAGCGACAUCCUGCAGCGCGUCACCGUGCACGUCUUCUCCCUGUCCCAGGCCGUGCUGCACCACGUCUACAUCCACGCCCACAACACGGUGGCCGUCUUCCUGGAGGCCGUGUGCGAGCAGACCAGCGUGGGCCCCCGGCAGCAGGAGUACUUCUUUGAGGGCCACCCGUGCGUCCUGGAGCCCAGCGUCUCGGCUCAGCACAUCGCGCACACGACUGCCAGCAGCCCCCUGACCCUGUUCAGCGCGGCCAGCGAGACCCCCAAGGGGCUGGCCUUCAGGGACCGUGAGUACGGCCGCCCGGGGCUUGGUUGCUUUUCACGGUGGGUGCAGGUCUGGGUUCUAAUUCUGCACGUGUCUCCGAGACGCUGUGGGGCUUGGGCAGGUGUCCUCAGAGCUGUGACAGCAGCUGCAGCUGCCGCGGGGAGACUCCGGGCCGGGCCAGGUGGGAGAAAAGGGGGAAAGGCCCGGGGGCGGAGCUUCACCGUCCCUCCAAGUUCUAAAAAAAAAUCAUCGCUUCUCAGUUGGAUGAUGCCCGCUACCUCCUCCUUCUCAGAGGAAGAGGGAAGAGGAUUUAGGGAAUUAACCUUAAAAUCUGUGGACAAGAGGGUGGUUCGAGUCCCGUUUCCUGGCUGUUGAGACAGGGCCUUGGGCACGAGCGUGUAGAUCUCCAAGUUGUCCACGAGGUGGCAGUGAGGGACCACAACUGUAAAGAUGCGCCUUCCGUGCUGGGAAGGGGGGGUUUCGGCGGGGAGUCUGGGUCGCUUGCAUUGGGAGACUGGCAAUGUGGGGUGAGUGUGA
rnacentral:lncRNA from 1 species